GGGAGGCUUAAAUAUGUAGUUUCUGUUGCAAUUGCCCUACCGUUGUCAAAUUUGAAAUAUUAUACCAACUUGGAUCGGUUAGGACAUUUUUGAUUUUUUUGUUUGAGGACUGCCCUCAAUGCAGUUAUAACAUCUAAACUGUCACAACCUUUGGAAAUUUAGAGUUGUGCCAGUUCACAUCGAAAAUAACUAUUUUCAUUUGGCAUAUCUUUGU
rnacentral:lncRNA from 1 species